GAAGGCGAAGAAGUCCAAAUGUUGCUCUGGUCUGGAUUAAGUCCUCUGUUUAUAAAUCUGCUGCAGAGAAAAGAAGAGAUUGAGUGAGGAGUGCAGCAGGUGAGGAGGCUUUCAUCUCUAUCCAAAUGCAUUGUGGGACAAGCGCAGGUUUCCCUGAGAACUGGGACACGGAGAGAUCAGACUACAGCAGACUGGAAGAUCAGUUGCUGUGUUUCCUCGCCGCCGCCUGUCAGUCAGAGCUCGCUGUGGCUCAGAUGAUUCGCUGUGAAAUGGACGGACGGCGUGCGUGAUGAUGGAUCUCGUGUAUUCCCGCCACACGCUCCGUGUGCCUCUUUGAAGUCCGAGACGUGCAGACGAAGAGCAGAAAAUUAAUGCGGCCAAGUGAAGAAUCAAACAACGGCGUCCAUCAGGAUUCAGGCCUGAAGCUUUAAAGUCGGACACGUUGGAAUACAUAUAUACAGCCUUCAGUAAACUCACAUUAGCAACAGUCAUUGUGUCUUUAAGGCAUUUUUUAUUGUCAAUUAAGGUUGUAGAAUGAAUUUUAGGUAGAGUUCCCUUUAUGCUACUAGGAAUUGUCUUUUUUAAUAAUUAAUGAGAAAAAUUAUUAAUUUGUACUGUAAAAAAAACUAUUAAAAGAACUGUAAAUAAAACUAAUAUUCCAGCAGCUGGGCACCAAAACAUACUGUUAAAUAAAAAAAUUAUACGUAUUUUACUGCUAAUUUUACAUUAUUUAAUCACAGAUAAGAAAACAAUAAUCUGAAUUAUCUGUAAUAAAAGUCAUUAUGUGUGAAAUUAAUAAUUUCUUCGCUGCUAUUUAUUGUUUUAAACAGUUAAAUUCAAGUUUAAUACUGUUGUGUGUGUAAUUUUACACCAUACAACAAUUUAUCAGUGUAUAAGCAUUGGUAAACUGUCAAAAUACAGUUUCUAAUCAGUGAAAACAGCAAUUAUUACUGUAUUUCACUGAUAAUGACUUUUAUUACAGUUCUGUAACUUUUAAUAAAUAAUAACAGCAAUCUGCUGUAAAUUUAAGCUGAUUGUUUGUAUUAUAGCAGCCUGUAUUUAUAGCUGUAUGUACAGCAUUGUUUGUACAGUGUAAAUAUCUUUAAUUCAACAUUGCAUCAUGGUGCGUCUGUAUGAGCAGUUCCAGUCUUUAGAUCGAUCCUCCGUCCACAGAGACUGAAUAGAGACUAAAGGUUACUGCUGGAGGAGGAGCAGAGAGACGAGCGACAGACUGCAGAUGUUGACCCAGUACGAGUCUGAUUUCCUUCACAAUCUUCUUGUUCGUGUUUUCUCUCUUUACAUAUUUCACUAAUUUCACACUGCUUGCAUUAUAUUUCACUCACCAGACGUUUGUUCCGGGUCUCCUCUCUAAUUAGCUGCUUAAUUGGAAAAUGAAGGCUUUGCUGUUUGUUUCGCAGCUCGCGGCAGUUUGAAAAGUCAAGAAAAGAGUCUGAGAAAAGGAGAAUUGUUACUCUUUGUGUUGAGAAUAUACAGACGAGAGCAGCCCAUCCAUAAAAUGAAAGCAGUCACAGAAUCUGAGGUUUUUGCUAAUUUAAUAGCAUAAAAUUAGAAUAGUGCUUUUUAGCUAUUAGGAGCCCAGCAAGGCAAACAGUUACGCUGGGUCAUUUCUAAUCAUCAAUCUGAGUCGUUAUAUAGAAAAAAUAAAGGAAUAGUUAUUGAUGAGUGUCCUGAAAGAUACAGCUACCUUAUUGAAUCUCAUAUUUCUGCCGUCUGUCCAAUGUGACGUUACUAUAAACUAAUUCCAUGGCUUGUGUUUAUUAAUCAACCCUUUACUACGAGACCGAGAAUAAAGAAUAAGAAUAAAACAGGAGGGUUUAUCUCCACUUCCUGUUACUUUCUGCUGUUUACAAGGUUCAUUAUUAGAAGGUAGGUCAGCUCAGUUUAUGGGAAUUAUUAAGGUUCAAAUCCCCUCUGCUCCACACUGUCACACCAAACUCCAUUCAAAAAAUGUCUGUUUUAAGGAAGUAAAACCUUUAUUUCCACCAUCAGUGAGACUCUGAUUCUCUUCAAUCCACAGACACAAUCUGCUCACAUUGACUCAGUAACAUCAUUAACUAACCUGUGAGGAAGAGUUGGACACAGAACAGUAUUUUAAAUAUGCACUGAUUGUCGAUGAAGACCUGAAUGAUUCUUACACACAGAACUAAAAUGUGCGUCAUACGUUGACCCCGAACUCGCCUUUAAGCCCCACAUUGAUUUGACAUUAUAAAAAGAACAUGUGGUCGCCUCAUUUCACGUUAUCGGUCAAUUCACUGCUCAGAAGAAUAAUAAUUUAUCAGCUGAUACGACCUAUUAUUGAUUAUGCUGACAAUGUCUGUCAGAACACUUCUAAAUAUGUAUCUCAAACCCUUUAAGGCUUUAUAUAAUAAAAUAAUAAAAUAAAAGUAACAUGACCACCGCCGACUACGUGACAUAUUUUAUGUGUAUUUCCUAUUUUAUUCAACACAUACAAACACAAACAAGAUUUGAAUGAAUUUUGAUUGUUUCCUGUGAAUAUUGAUCACAGAUGAGUUUUUCUGAUAUUUUCAGGAUUUCUUUUAACAAUUCUCAUUCUUCAUUGUUUUGAACAAUCAUACAUAUACACAUACAAACAGGCUUCUUUUAUUGACAAAUGUAGUGUUUUCUUGUCCCUGUUGGACCGUUGUUGUAAUGCAGGAUGAGGCAGUUUGAAGUCUCUGUGAAUAAUGAAACUUUCUAUCUUAAAUAAAAAUGUAAACUUAACCAACUUAAAAUAAUUAAAUUUUCUUCACAUAAAUGAACUAAAUGCUGAGAUAUAUUCCUACUGUAUUUUUAUAGUCUUCUUACAUGCCUUACAAGGCCUCGCGACGCCCUGUGAGUGAACCACUGCUUCAAUGUAUGAAUCACCUGACUGGUUGCAGCCCAGAUACAGAAGAUAAUGUCAGAUGUCUUUAUUUUAUCUGAAACAUGUUGAUCUUCAUAUCCAGUUAGACACAUGCAGCCUCUUUUUCCAGACAUUUCAAAAUAAAGCUCCAUCUGACAGCAAUAAUCUUCCACUAUUUAUCUUUUCUCACCUGAAAACAACUUUUAUGCUUUUAGUUUUUAUUUACUUAAUAAUCUUCAGUACUCUUUGUUUCUUAUCCAGUUUUCUUUCUGUUGAGUAGUGUUGGGAGUGUGGGAGGGAAGGGGUGAGCAAGUUGUCUGUAUCUGUGUAUCUGCAGUCUAUGUUGGUUAUGUAAUGCAGUUUUUGUUUGAUGCUGCAUCUCAAGGGAUUAUCCUUUCAAUAACCUCAAAUAAAAGUCUUGGAGGAAAAUAGAGAUUUUAAUAGUGUUUGUUUACUUUCACCACCAACGCUGCUGCAUUACCAAUAUUUAUUAAGGUAUAUAUUAGCAUUAUAAUUAAGGCCCAAAUAUGUUUGUGUAUGUAUGCUAUUAUUAUUUUAUUCCCCAAUGAAACACAUUUUUGGAGGCAGCAACAGGCUUGAAAACUUGCGGUCGCAAAGUUCAAAGGUCGCAGUAAGUUACGUAUUCUGUGGGUCUCUCACACGCAGGCAAGUUUUACCGAUCUGUAUGAAAAUCAAUAUGCACAUGUAUAGAUGUCCAGACAAACAAAAAAGCCUCUUUGGCCCCAAACCCAACAGGAAGUCCUUUUUUUUUUUACUUCGUGGUCAUUUUGGCAAUUUUGUGCAUUGUAUUUUAACGAACUCCUCCUAGGGAAUUGAUCGGAUUGGCUUCAGAUUUCGUCAUUGCGAUCUAAACACCACCGCGAUUAAAAUAUGUGCUCUUUGUGUCGGCGGUUGUCUCCGUGGCUUGGGCGUCAAAUUUUAAACGCGUCUAUAAGCCAAUAUUCAGACAUAGUCAUAGCGCCUUCUACUGGAAACAGGAAGUGAGGCUUGUGUGGCAAUUUUUGUAGAUUUCUGAGCUCAAAUGUCUCUUUUGAAAUUAAAGGUUGCUGACCCCCACAGUAGGAACAAAAGGGGGUGUGGUCGUUCUGAACACAGAAAGUGACGUGUGCCUGCUCUCAUACAUAAAUCGACCUGUAACAAGAUGGUAUUAUUGCUUUUACUGAAGUAAAGGAUGAAUACCUCCGCCACCAUGGAGAUGCUGUCACAGCUUCCAUACUUCAGCUUUCUGUUGGUACAUCUGAUCCCGUUUGCUCUUGUUUGUCAUUAAUGAACUUUUUCACAGUCGGCGGCUCGGAGGCAAAACUCCAGCAGCAGUAAAUAAAACAACGGACCGCACAUGGGAACGCUCCAUUGCUCACUCUGAUCCGCGCGCCGCUUAUUCAUUUUAAAUCACAGCCGACGCUCGGCGAGUCUCCACACGCCAUUACCCAGCAGCCCCCGCGGCGCGGCUCUGACAGGAGGACUCACACAGAGAACGGGGUCGACUCAUUAACCGCCCGGAAGCUGGUUCGUGAUCUCGUGCUGAAAUUCACACAACAGACGGAACGAGACCAAGUCUAUUUGUCUCCAUUAACAUCUGGUUAUAAACACACACACACACACACACACACACACACACACACACACACACACACACACACACAGCUUCCUGUUGACUUUCUGAUUGGUUCGAGCUUCCUGAGCUUUCAACCACUGUGAGGACAACCUUCACACUGAGUCUCUCUGAAGUCUGCAGCAAGAGAUCUGGAUUUUAGUCGAUACACUUUUGAUUUGUCGAGUUCAGACUGAAAAUCUGUUACAACCAUUAUGUUAAUCUCAGAUUCAAAUAUAUAUAAAUAGUUAUAGUUACUUCUCUCAUAAGAAACUGAAUUAUGUUAUCAAUUAAAGCUGCGAGCAGCAACAAACUGGCCCUCGUGUGUCGACCACACGGACAAAAUUUCACUUAUGAUGUUUUUCAUCAACAACUUUCACUCCAGUAGGUGGUGCUACAACUAUGACUAAAUAUUGUGUUCAGGGCCGGACUGACAUCAGACAGGAAGCUUGGACACUGAAGUUAUGACAACUUCCUGUUUAAUGACGAAACAUCGAAAUUAGCCACACCACGGGCACGCCGUUGCACACAUUGUAAUCGUGAUGCUCUUCAAAUCUGAAGUCAAUCCAAUCAAUUCCCUAAGAGGAGUUUGUUAAAAUACAACACAUGCAAAUCUCCAGAAAUUACCACUUAAUUCAAAUGGCCGACUUCCUGUGGGGUUCGGGGUUUGUGAGAUAGAAUACGUACAUUAACGCCACACAGCAUCCAAAAAUAUGAUCCUGCUGGCAGAAUAAUAAUCAUUCCUUACAUUUCAAUACGGUCACUGCUGAAAAAGUCAAAAAGUAAUUCCCGGGAGGAAGUGGUAAUAUUUAGACUUGGUGGAGAACCAAGAGGGAGCAGCUGAAACUGAACUCUGAUGCACCAAAACGCCGUCGGCGAGCGGCUCAAUGAACCAAUAAAGACUCGCUCAUCAGUGCUGAAUACAGAACGCCGUCAUUAUGUGUGCAAAUGAAGCUAUUAUCUGACUGCACUCCGGAUAAGUCACUCAUGUUCUGCUCUCUACACUUUUUCAGGUCUCCUGAGGCAGCAGUGGCAAUGGUGGCGCCCGGAGGCCAGCGAGCGGUUCUGAAAGGGACAGUCAGUUCAGUCAUAUCAUGGCAGAGGCCUUGGAGGGGAGCGGCUCUGCAGCUGUCAGUGGGAAUAAAACAGAAGAGAGUUUGGGUGGCAAGGAGGAGAGUUGAGGGUGGUGGCGGCCGGCAGGUUCCAGCUAAUGAGGCGAGAACAGCUUCAGAGGGCAAGAGCGAGGAAGCUGGGCAGCGAGGGAGAAAAUGAAAGAAAGAGAGAGAACGACAGAGGAGAAUAAUAAAAGAGUCGGAGAAGUGGCGGCGCGAAGCGUGCAGAGGUGAUGCACACCCAGAGGGAACCCUCCUGCUUCAUGCAAACGUCGGUCCAAUCAGAUUCCACUGCGAUUUGGUCGGUGGCGUGCGGCAGGGGAAAUCAGCCACUUCCAGUUAAAGCUCCCAGAGCUCCUCAACCUUCGUGUUUGUUUCGGAGGAAAAAAGAUGUCCUGCUUUACAUGGAAACAUCCAGCAGCAAAUCAAACUCUACAAUGUGAUUGUUUCAAGGUUUAAAAUGCUUUUCUUCAGGAGGAACAAAGCGCAGUAAAAACAGCUGAUUAAAGACAGGAAGUACAAAGCCCUCAGGAGCUCUUCACUUUAGAGAACUUCUGCAUGCGGCACAGAGAGAACAUGGUCUACUACGUGUCUUAUUAUCAUCAGAACAAAAAGUUUUAUCACUUCACAGAAACUUUGCUGUGAACCUGUGAGCAGGUUUUUGGAGAAGCGGAUGCAGACAGUCUCAUUUGAGAGUUAAUGUGAAUGAAUUAAGAUGCUCUGAGACCCGAUCGCUCAGAACCACAUUCAGAGGUCUGAGAUCUGGAAAUUCUGUUGAUUGUGAACAAGAAUGUGUCGUGUAGGAAUGGUUAGACUCAUCGAUUACACCAAUUAUAAAGUCAAAAUGUAUAUUUUUAUCUCUGUAUUGUGCUGUCAUCUCCAGUUUCUGUCCAACAGGGACAGGAAGUUCUGUUUCCGGUAUUCUUUAUGAUAUUUUAAAGUUUCAUGAAAAACAAUAAAAGUAGUUGAUGACUAA